UGUUUGCAUUUGGAAAAAGGUUCUCGAUCCUAUAUUUAGGCGCUCGGGAUUAAAAGGGAAUUCGGUUCAAUACCGAAGCUGUCCCCGCAACUGUAACCCCAUCCGCUUCGAUAAACAUCGGUAGUGGAAAGCAAUUUACCCCCUCCAAAUGCCAUUGUCCCGAGAGAUCGGGAUGAGAAGGCCGGUAAAUUCAGGGAAGCCAGGAGACCUGCCCGUUUCUGACAAAUUCA
rnacentral:ncRNA from 2 species